UCUUCUCUCGCGCGCCCAGCCGCCCCCUCGUCUGUCUCUCUCCUUUCCCCUCUCACAUGUUCUUCCUCCCCCGGAACAUUUUCUCUUCUCCUCCCUCUAUUGCUCUCUUCCCCGCCUGCCUCGCUUCUUCCUCCCAUUGUCUCACCCCCGUUCCCCUGCACUCAGUUUCUGUUGGGGCACAGGUGGGAUUAAGCUAAAGGCCUGGGCUCAAAGCAGUCCCAGGAGAAGGGGGUCCUUGCUGCAGAUUUGGAAAAGUCAGCAUUUGCCACCUUUGCAAGGAAAAUGAUGAAAGUGCUAAGGGUUGGACCCUGCUUAGAACAAAAACAGCCCGUGGUGGUGGAGAUGGAUGGAGUAAGAAGAUGGAAAGGUUUCUGUGAGAGAUUGUUUGUGUAAAUGAGGAAUACAUGCAUCAGGAAAAGAUAAGGUGUGAAAGCCAUCACAAAUGUCCAGAUGGUCAAGAAAAAGUGAGAGACUUGGAAAAAACCAGGAGACAAUCAGAAAACAUCCAUUGUAUCCGAUGCUAAACAUGGUAGCAGCAUUGAUGAUCUCAGAGGUGAGGCAGGCACCCCCGAAAGCGAAACAACAAAUAGGAGAUAACAAUAGGAAGCCCGACAAUAACCAACAAAUGAUAACACCACUUAAGGACUAAUGAUUACAGGAUGAUAUUGCAAAAUGCAUAGACUCAAAUGGGAAUUUACAACUAUAAAGCUGGGGUGUUUUGCCAUGGAACUCUGGGUUCAGUCCUGCAAAGCCUUGGAGCAUCGAAUUCCGACCGACAAGAGCCCAGCUCUUCACUCGUGCUCAGUCUAACUGGCCAUUAGAUUGACUUGAUCUACAACAGACUGGUAACUAUAAACAUCAACUGGCAGGAGAGAGAGAGAGUGCGUAUGUGAGACUGAAAAGCAUACACUAACUGUUGUAUUUUCAAUAAAUGUGGCGUAUUUGCCUUUCCCCCCGAAAAGAUCCCCUGUGCUUUGCAUAGCAUAACAUCAGAGCUCUCCACUGCACCCUGAGCCCCUAAUUUCUGGCCUCACCCAGACCCCCAGCCCUGAGCCCAUACCACACACCCCCUUGCACCACAACCCCUGCCCCAGCCCAGAGCCCUCUCCCAUACCCGAAACCCCUCAUCCCCGGCCC